UUUCCAGGCAUGCAUCUGCAGCUACGGGCAAGUCUGUCCAUGUAGGUUGCCAGCUUUCACUGACUUUUCUCCAUCCCCAGUUAGAUGGACAGGGAAGAUUUUGAUUCGGUGACAUCUGACCCCAUACAUGGACUGCUUGGAACACUGCCCGCAGGAAAUGCUGGUAUAGAGCAGCUUUCGUCGGAGGUAUAUUCUCCAAUUGGCGGUCUUUUUUCGAGAAUAGGUGCUUUCGGGCUUUGUUUACGGUUGUAAAUGAACUGGCUCUAAAACAAAACAAAAAAAUUAGUUACUAGACUAUUUUAUUGUAUUGCUAGUUUUAAAAAGUGCUUAUUACCUGUCAUAUAAAAUGACGACAAACUUUUCGAUUACUGUAAAAAAUAGAAUGCACUGAGACUAUAACGCUAGGCGGGCUAUAUAAAACAUAUUAUUUUCUUUUACAGGGCCACAAAAAGCGAAAGUCCUCCCCCUGUUCCAUGCCUUCACAGGUUGUGAUACUGUGUCCUAUUUUAACGGGAAAGGAAAAAAAAGUGCAAUAGAUGCAUGGAACGCAUUUCCCAAUGCCACAGAAGGGUUUCUGGCAGCAUAUGAGGGGAGUACUAGCGAGGCGUUUACAGUAAUCGAAAAGUUUGUCGUCAUUUUAUAUGACAGAGCCAGUUCAUUUACAACCGUAAACGAAGCCCGAAAGCACCUAUUCUCGAAAAAAGACCGCCAAUUGGAGAAUAUACCUCCGACGAAAGCUGCUCUAUACCAGCAUUUCCUGCGGGCAGUGUUCCAAGCAGUCCAUGUAUGGGGUCAGAUGUCACCGAAUCAAAAUCUUCCCUGUCCAUCUAACUGGGGAUGGAGAAAAGUCAGUGAAAGCUGGCAACCUACAUGGACAGACUUGCCCGUAGCUGCAGAUGCAUGCCUGGAAAUGAUCCGGUGCAGAUGCAAAAAGAGGUGCGGCGGCUCGAGGUGCCGGUGCUUUCAGCGGCAACUUAAGUGCACGGAGCUUUGCGAUUGUGGGGGACAAUGUAAAUAAUAAACAUUUUUAAGUAAAAUUCUA